AAAAUUGGCAGCAGCAUUUGGAAAAAGUGAAGAACGAAGGCAAUCUUUCAUUCGAUUCCUAAAUUCCAAAGUGAAGAACGGACAAGAGAAACCACGACAGGGAAAAACAAACAAAAAAUGAUAAAAUAGAAAUAGAAUAAAGAGAGUGGAACGGAAGGGAUAAUCUAUUAAAUUGGAAGUUUAAUCUUUCUCCAUAUCUAGAUUUUAACUUCUUCCACCACUUUAGAACACCCAUUUUUAAAUUCUUGCUUUUCUCAUCACAUAUAGACACAAACACCCACCUCCUCAAUCCAAAAUUGAAAACCAAUUAGACUUUCAUUCGGUUCGAGUUUUUUUGGUUGCUCAGAUUUGAGUGACAAUUUCGGAGUUCAAAGUCUCGAGAUAGGAAUUGAGCCGACGAAGUUCUAUUUGAGGUCUCUGGCUUUCCGUGAUUCGAGCCCAAUAUUCGAUUUUGGAAUUCCAGAAUUUUUUCAACAAAUUAAGUUUUCUCAUGCAGGUGUGGAUCUACUUACUGGAGUUUGAGCAUGACAGACACCCCGGGAUUGAGUCUUUUAGGUGGUUUCAGAAUCUAUCAUAGUCUAGCUGAGUUUGUUGAGUCUUUUGUUAUCAUAUUGCUGAUUCUGUAUUCAAAAAAAGUUGUAAUGAAUAAUCCAAAAAGAUUUUAAUUUUUUUA